ensembl:misc_RNA Metazoa_SRP Metazoan signal recognition particle RNA
GCCAGGCACGGUGGUGCGUGCCUGUAGUCCCAGCUACUCAGGCUGAGGCUGGAGGAUCACUUGAGCCCGGGAGUUCUGGGCUAUAGUGCGCUAUGCCGAUCAGGUGUCCACACUAAGUUCGGCAUCAAUAUGGUGACCUCCCGGGAUCAGGGAACCACCAGGUUGCCUAAGGCGGGGUGAACCGGCCCAGAUCAGAAACGGAGCAGGUCAAAACUCCUGUGCUGAUCAGUAGUGGGAUCGCACCUGUGAAUAGCCACUGAACUCCAGCCUGGGCAACACAGCGGGACUCUGUCUCU